rnacentral:rRNA from 1 species
CCUACGGGUGGCAGCAGUGAGGAAUAUUGGUCAAUGGGCGGGAGCCUGAACCAGCCAAGUCGCGUGAAGGAAGAAGGUACUUAGUAUUGUAAACUUCUUUUGUCGGGGAACAAAUGCGGGGACGCGUCUCCGGAGGAGUGUCCCCGAAGGAAAAGCAUCGGCAAACUCCGGGCCAGCAGCCGCGGUAAUACGGAGGAUGAGGGCGUUACCCGGUUUUAUUGGGGUAAAGGGGUGCGCAGGGGGUAGCAAAAGUCAGCGGGAAAAUGUCGGGGGGAAACCCCGGACUGCCGUUGAAACUGGUUUUCUAGAGUGGGAGAGAGGUAUGCGGAAUUCGUAGUGUAGCGGUGAAAUGCAUAGAUAUCACGAAGAACUCCGAUUGCGAAGGCAGCAUACCGGCUCCAUACUGACGCUGAGGCACGAAAGCGUGGGGAUCGAACAGGAUUAGAUACCCCGGUAGUC